rnacentral:rRNA from 1 species
AGAAUCAACGCUGGCGGCGUGCCUAACACAUGCAAGUCGAACGAGAAAGUGGAGCAAUCCAUUAGUAAAGUGGCGCACGGGUGAGUAACACGUGACUAACCUACCCUUGAGUGGGGGAUAACCUAGGGAAACCUGGGCUAAUACCGCAUAAUACCUUCGGGUCAAAGGAGCAAUUCGCUUAAGGAGGGGGUCGCGGCCGAUUAGUUAGUUGGCGGGGUAAUGGCCCACCAAGACGAUGAUCGGUAUCCGGCCUGAGAGGACGCACGGACACACUGGAACUGAAACACGGUCCAGACUCCUACGGGAGGCAGCAGUGGGGAAUUUUGCGCAAUGGGGAAAACCCUGACGCAGCAACGCCGCGUGGAGGAUGAAGCCCCUUGGGGCGUAAACUCCUUUCGAUCGGGACGAUUAUGACGGUACCGGAAGAAGAAGCCCCGGCUAACUUCGUGCCAGCAGCCGC